rnacentral:snRNA from 1 species
GCUCGCUUCGGCAGCAUAUAUUAAAGUUGGAAUGAUAUAGAGAAGUUUAGCAUGGCCCCUGUGCAAGGACAUGUAUAAAAGUGUAUUCUUCUUUGCUCUG